AGAUUUAGAAAAUAUUAUUAGAAAAGUUAAAAGUUGAGAAGUUUAUUUUAAAAGGGCUUGGAAUUAUUUGGAAAUGGAAAGUCGGAAAGUGAAGAAGUUGUGAGUUUCGCAAACUCAACUUUGCCUCCUAUCCCCCUUAGAUGCUUCCAUCAUGUACGCUCAGUUUAUUUUGCUUAAUGAAUGAAGCAGAUAGUUUGCUAUCUUUUUCUCAAAAAAAAAAAAAAAUUUGCCUUCUAUCCCAUCAAAGUUAAAAGGCCAAUAUUCGUACAAUCGGGAGUGAAAGUUUGAAUGAUCUUAUAAAUUCAGUGCCAAAAUAAACAUGCACUAAUGCCGA
rnacentral:lncRNA from 1 species